GAUCCCGGAGGCCACCAUCCGCCAGCGCGUUGCGCCCGCGGGUGAGCUUGGC
rfam:Devosia psychrophila strain Cr7-05 contig159, whole genome shotgun sequence.